rnacentral:rRNA from 1 species
AUUGAACGCUGGCGGCAGGCCUAACACAUGCAAGUCGAGCGAGCGGCGGGCGGGUGCGUAAUGUAUGGGGACUGCCCGAUAGCGGGGCAUAACUAGUGGAAAAGAUGGCUAAUACCGCAUACUGGCGGCUAACCCAUAUGGUAUUAGCUAGUAGUUAAGGUAAUGGCUUACCUAGGCGACGAUCCCUAGCUGGUCUGAGAGGAUGAUCAGCCACACUGGGACUGAGACACGGCCCAGACUCCUACGGAGGCAGCAGUGGGGAAUCUUGCACAAUGGGCGAAAGCCUGACGCAGCCAUGCCGCGUGUAUGAAGAAGGCCCUAGGGUUGUAAAGCACUUUCAGUCGGGAGGCGUUACCUACACAAGAAGCACCGGCUAACUCCGUGCCAGCAGCCGCGGUAAUUC